rnacentral:rRNA from 1 species
GACGUAGGGCGCGAGCGUUGUCCGGAUUUAUUGGGCGUAAAGAGCUCGUAGGCGGUUUGUCGCGUCUGCUGUGAAAACUCAGGGCUUAACCCUGAGCCUGCAGUGGGUACGGGCAGACUAGAGUGUGGUAGGGGAGAUCGGAAUUCCUGGUGUAGCGGUGGAAUGCGCAGAUAUCAGGAGGAACACCGGUGGCGAAGGCGGAUCUCUGGGCCAUAACUGACGCUGGAGGAGCGAAAGCAUGGGGAGCGAACAGGA